UUGUAGAGGAUGCUUCGGGCAAGGCUGCGGUCUAAUUCGCUUGGAACAGCGAGUCAUAGAGGGUGAGAAUCCCGUCUGGGACCGCGAGCCGCGCCCGUGUGAAGCUCCUUCGACGAGUCGAGUUGUUUGGGAAUGCAGCUCUAAAUGGGUGGUAAAUUUCAUCUAAAGCUAAAUAUGGGCCAGAGACCGAUAGCGCACAAGUAGAGUGAUCGAAAGAUGAAAAGCACUUUGAAAAGAGAGUUAAACAGUAUGUGAAAUUGUUGAAAGGGAAGCGCUUGCAAUCAGACAUGCGCAUGGCGGUUCCCCCGGUCUCCUGGCCGGGCUACUCCGUCAUGUCCAGGCCAACAUCGGUUCGGGCGGCCGGUGAAAGACCCCGGGAAUGUAUCUACCUCCGGGUCGACUUAUAGCCCGGGGUGCAAUGCGGCCCGCCCGGACCGAGGAACGCGCUUCGGCUCGGAUGUUGGCGUAAUGGUUGUAAGCGGCCCGUCUUGAAACACGGACCAAGGAGUCUAACAUCUAUGCGAGUGUUUGGGUGUCAAACCCCUACGCGUAAUGAAAGUGAACGGAGGUAAGAACCCCGUCCAGGGGCGCAUUAUCGACCGAUCCUGAAGUCUUCGGAUGGAUUUGAGUAAGAGCAUAGCUGUUGGGACCCGAAAGAUGGUGAACUAUGCCUGAAUAGGGUGAAGCCAGAGGAAACUCUGGUGGAGGCUCGCAGCGGUUCUGACGUGCAAAUCGAUCGUCAAAUUUGGGCAUAGGGGCGAAAGACUUAUCGAACCAUCUGGUAGCUGGUUCCUGUCGAAGUUUCCCUCAGGAUAGCAGUAACGUAUUCAGUUUUAUGAGGUAAAGCGAAUGAUUAGAGGCCUUGGGGUUGAAACAACCUUAACCUAUUCUCAAACUUUAAAUAUGUAAGAAGUCCUUGUUGCUUAAUUGAACGUGGACAUUUGAAUGUAUCGUUACUAGUGGGCCAUUUUUGGUAAGCAGAACUGGCGAUGCGGGAUGAACCGAACGCGAGGUUAAGGUGCCGGAAUGCACGCUCAUCAGACACCACAAAAGGUGUCAAUGCAUCCAGACAGCCGGACGGUGGCCAUGGAAGUCGGAAUCCGCUUAGGAGUGUGUAGUUUGUUGCACGCGCAGAGUCCCCUCUCCGGGACUAGUCGGGGCGGCCAGACCCCCCGAUGACAGCUCUCCCCAACCGGGACCCCCGUCCGGGAUGACCGGUUGUAGACCUGCCCGCAGGUCUACCCACAGACUAAAAGGAGCUGGCCGUGGCGGCCGCCGCCGCGGUUGAGAGAUAGUCGAUCGAGGCCCCUCCACUGGGGGCCGUCCCACGAGAACAACUCACCGGCCGAAUGCAUUGGCCCUGAAAAUGGAUGGCGCUUAAGCGUGCUACCUAUACCUCGCCGUUAGGGUUGAAAUGAUGCCCUAACGAGUAGGCAGGCGUGGGGGUUUGUGACGAAGCGUUGG
rnacentral:rRNA from 1 species